UGAUCUGAAAGGAGUAGUAAGAAGAUGGAGGAAGUGGCUAGGGGUUUCCAGUGGCCCCUGAUACUGUGCCAUUAAAGAACUGCACUUCCUCAAUGCUGUACCUCAAGAGUUUCCUCUUUUCUACCUCUGUCCCAGCUCCCUAGGACAGCAUUAUGGAAUCAGCUCUUGAAACUGCCUAGCCUCACAUCUCCUUACAAGAGCAGCUCUUAGGGAAAGCACUUGUCUUAGCAAAGCCCAGCCCAGCCCAGCCCAGCCAUGACAAUGUCCCUGGCGACACCUACUGGCAUUUCCCCCUCUGUCAGCCUCCCUUCCCCUUUUGUCUUGGUCACCUCCAUCUUCCUGGAGAGGUCCUCAUCUUCAUCUUCAUCUACGAAGGCAAAGGACUCAGGUCGACCACCAGGAUGCCAGUCCCCAGCCAGCUGAGCCUUGCCAUUAUAAGGCAGCUCUGAUAACUUUCGAGCCAUGUCCUGGGCAGCCUUCAACCUUCGCUCUGCACACAGGUGGCGCUGCAGGAGGGACUGCAGUUCUGAGCGUUCCACAGAGCCCAGCAGGAUCAUUGAAUCUGGGGGACAACCAUGCUUCCCUGAGGGCCUGCUCCACACCUACACGGCUAGCAAGUCAGGUGAAGUAGAAGCUCAGAGCCUUUUCUUACUGCAAUUUUUACCUUUUCUUACUAAAAACUCAUCUUAAACUCCUCCAGUGUGGCCUCACUGUAACUCUACACAUUUAGCACUUACAGACCCAAUUGGCAGCACAUUAAUUGGUGCUAAUCUGUACUUAUCUGUACACUGCCCUAAUAUAGUGUUUGCAAAUAUGUAAGCUAUUAAAAUAGGCUGAUCUACUCUAUCUAAAUGUAAUGAGACUCAAGAGGCAGUUGUAGCAAUCUGAGACUCAAUCACACUCUGAAAGAAGUCUACAAGCAAUGCUAGCAUUGGGUCUUCUAUCUUAGAAGAUUCAUUACUUAAAGCACCUACAGCCUGAUAGAAUAUAAGCAAAAUGUUCACUUUCCAUGAACCUUUCAUGUGUUUAUAUAAAUUCUGCUACAGUGCUGAACAUUUUCAGCAAGUUAACGCCCAUAGCAUUGCACCAAGAGCACCUACUUAGAUCUCAGAUACACCGUAUACUGUUACAUUUUUGCUAUCAUUAUGAAGAUCUUGUACCCCACUGGCUCCACCCUUGCUCUAAGGAAGAGCCAUGGCUUCAGAAGCUCCUUAGAAGGUCUCUGAGCUUAGGGAAGUGCCUGCACUAGUGCAGCUUGAGAAAUUUGGAUACUCUGAAUAUCUGAAAUAAAAAACUAACAUUGUUUCUGGCUCCAAACAGUUCUUCAUCUCUAUUUUCUAAUUUACAGACUAGGGAAAUGAGGGCUGAAGGUCCAGCUUAUAAUUAGAACUAUAAAAAUAUAGAGAUUAUGCUAUCUACAUUCAAAGACCACCCAAUCUAAUGAGAAAGACAAACUACAGUGAGAAGUGAUACACACCAGAGUGAAGUUGGUGGGCAGGAAGAAUGGUGAAUAGAAGGAAAUGUGAAAUCAACAGUUACUAAAGCCAUUUACUCCUUCACUGUUCCUUAGGUUGGCCAUUAAAAAAAUGAUAGAAUUUAAUUAAGUAUGUGGGGAGCAGACUUACAGUUGACCCACACUGUUUAUGAAGUCUCUAUUUGUGAACUCACUCACCAGAAUCUAUGUCCAUGAUUACACUGCUAGAGAUGUCUUGGCUAGAAUUCACAGCCAUGCACAGAGCAACAACAGAGUGAACGGCAUGAAUCUCAUGUUCCCAGCUGAGGCCAAACAAACAGCACUCAGCCUUCCCAUUUCAGCUCGAGGAAACGGGUUCUGUGAGCAGCCUACCUAAGCCACAGUGUUUCUCCAGUCUCUGCUCUGUGCGGUGACUCUGCUGUCUAAAGUGUCCCCACAUGCACUGCUGAGCGCUGUCUACUGUUUCUGAGCACAGGAAGGGAAGGCUGUGCUUUGUCUUACUGAGAAAAUGUGUUAGACGAGUUUUAUCUGGGUAAGAUUACAGUGCUGUUGGUCACAAGUUCAAGGUUAAUAAAUGACAAAAUACUAUUAAAUAAGGUAUCUUAAAAGAGAGACAGAAAACACAGCUAUUAUUGAUUGCUUGGCAAAAAUGCUGUGACCAGAGUCAAAAGACUUAGCUUUGAAUUUUCCCUUGGAACAUUCUUCUGCAAACUGUUCACGAAUUCUAAGCUCAAGAAGACUUUAAAAUUCAUGGCUGCCAUGAAUACAGGCAAUAAUAGGAUUGCCCAUACUUCCUUAGUUGGAUUUUAACUGCCUUUGUGUGCCUGUGCUAUGGCUGUGUGUGUGUUUAUGUAUUUUUCUAGAGGAAGAACAUGUCCCUCAGUAAGUACAAACUGAGCCUCCCUUAGCAGCUGGAUAGCUCUGAGUUCAAGUCCAUACCUGCAAUGGUGAAGCUUACUGUCAGCUCAGCUGGAUUCUGAAUCACCUAGGAGAAUGGUGAGGCACACUUCUGGGUGUGUCUAUGAGGGCAUUGCUAGAGAUUAACUAAGCGAGGAAGAUCCACUGAAUAUAGGUGGCAUGAUCCCAUAGCUUUGCAUCACAGAAAAGACCACAAGCACAAAAGGGGGUGGGGUGCAUCUUGGCCUGCCAUGAUGUGUGCUGCUCUGUCCCACCAUCUCAUCUCUACCAAAAUGGACUGAACUUGAAACCAUAAGCUGAAAUAAACAUUUCUUCUCUU